CCUGCUGCAUGAAAGAGUAAAAAUCAUCAGGUGGAGGUGAAGGUGGAGGAAGGCUCAGAGUCUGUCACCCUGCCCUGCAAAACAACACCUGACCUGCCUGAGAACACCAGAGUGGAGUGGACUCGCUCUGACCAUGAACUCUUGAUAGUUCAGGAGUAUUCAAACAAAGGUGGCAAACUUAUGAAACAGGACAAGUUUUACAGAGACCGAACAGAAAUGAAUGAAGACCUGCUGAAAACUUCAGUCUGACCCUGAAACAGCCCACAGAGAGAGACACAGGAGGAUACAUCUGCACCAUCUACAGGGACAAAGACAUCCUGAGACAGAAAGUAGUGCUGCACUAUGUCAGAGAAAAACUUCCACUUUGGGCCACAGCUGUCGUAGUUCUUCUUGUUCUUGUGUUUUUUGGGGGUCUCACAUAUAGUUUUCAACACUAUUUCAUGUCAGGUUCAGGCCUCUUGGGAUGAAGCUGCUGAGGCUUUGAGGACAUGUUCUCCAAAUCUUCAGCUAUGUUGUUGACAUGCCACCAUCCGCCCAGGGCUCUCCUUCUCCAUUUGGCUGAAUCUGCUUCCGUGAGCCACUCCUUAAGUCGGCUUUGCGACACGGGCACUUUUGGUGUGACUGAUAGUUUUCCAAUAGGAUCGUGCUGAUAUCAGUCUGACUCUGAAAAACCCCACACAGGGAAACAUUGGGAGAUACACAUGUUACGUCUGGAGAAAGGGAGACAUAAUCAGAUCAAAAACAGUGAUGUUCAAAGUAACAGUUUCUCGGGUGCCAUUGUCUAGAUAUUGAACUUUGGUUUUAUUAUAUUAAUUUCCUCUUUAUGAUAGAAUGAACUUUAAUGUCCUCUUGUUUAACCUUCACCCAGGAGUACCCGAAGCUAGCGUGCAGCUAGCAGGCUGCACUCUGCUGGGACAGGACAAAGGACAAAGGCAUUAUGUUGUUGUUUUCUGAAUCUUUGGUUUUUAUUUAGCCUUCUCUAUUUUUUUCAAUGAGUCUUAGCUGCACACUGCCUUUGAAACACAUGUUCAACAAGAAGCCACAGAAACCUUUAUCACAUUAAAGUCUCAUUGUUUCUGUACA